GGCACUCAGUCCACAUGGAGGGGGCGGCCACUCAGUUCACAUUGAGGACUGGUCAAACAGCAUUUCUGAUCCCGUUUCUGACCUGAAAUUAGCUGAAAUGUACCUGAAAUUACCUGGAAUUAGAGUGUGCCCGCCCGAGCGAGUGAUGCCUAAAACAUGCAAGCGGAAGGCGGGUCACUCCAGGCCGCUGCAGUCGUCGUCACUGUCGCUGCUAGUUGUAUCAUCCAUGACCGGGGAAGGACUCGGAGCCGGAGGAGGAAGACUGAACUGCUGGGGACCUGGAAUGUAGAAGAUCAUCGUUAAGCGUACAAUUUGGUGACAUGGGUAAUGUUUGGCUUUCUUGCUUUCUAAAUCAAGCUUUUUGUAUUAAUGCCAUUGACUUGAAUAUGAUUCUGUUCAAUAUCAAUGAUGAAGCCCUGUGAUAGUUUUAGCAGCAUUUUCUCUCAACACGUGGCUACUGAUUGAUGUGCUAACUAGCUUUUUUAAUCUCUAGUGCUAGUUAGCUGUUUGCCAAGAGUUAGUGGGAGACUUUCCCACUUCCUUACUAAAUUCGUUCAAAUUCGCUCAUCAUCAUUGUUCUAAAAUUAAAGAAAUAGUGUUGAGCAAAGAAGGCAAGUUUGAGGGGAAAAUAACAUCCCUGAGACCGACGUCGUACAGUAGCCUAGUUAUGCUAUUUUGCAACCAUGCUUUUGGCGAUAGCGGGAAACAUGCUUUCUACAUUUUAUGGUGAAAUCCAAACAUUACUUAUCGAUUUUAAGAACUCCGAUUAAAGUUACCAAUUGUAAGUGGGAAAUGUAAAAAACGGGUGGAUAGGAUAUUGUGCCAAUUUGCCGUUUGGGGAGUUUAUUUUUAUUGUCAUUACGUUUAGAAUUGACUUUAUGUCUUGUCUUUCCAUAAGAUGCAAGGAAUAUGGCUAUAUGGGCUUAUAUUAGAGGGCAAAUGUUAAAGAAAUACAAGUCAUAUAGUACAUGUACCCACCAUUGACUCCAAAAUGAUACUCUACUACAAUUGCCUAUUGAACCACACGCUGAAGUCCACCUCUAAAACUUUCACAUACUUUUCUUAAAGUAGUUUCACCUCCUCUCUUUGUACUCGCAUGCCACAUGCUCACACCCCACUCAAAAUAGUGUUAAUUGUACUCUUUGGUCAGUAACAUUCUCAGAGUUGAAUGUACUUAUUGUGUAACCUAUUAAGAGCUGUAAAGUUGAAACUGGCCACCUUCAGAAUUUACACAGAUUUUUGACUCUGUUAGAGUAAUUUGAUUCUCCAUGGUGUUGUAAAUAGUCUAUCUGGAUUUAUUUACUAGUAAAUUACUUAAAGGUGCACUAUGAUGGUGGAUUUCAGGGUCUGGUUCAACAGAAAAUCAAACAACUUGAAGAAUAACUUUUAAAUUCCAUGUUAGGUAAAGCUCCAUGAAACUGUAAAAGGUUCAGCACAUCCCUCUUGCCCCUCAAACGCUUCAAGAGAAAGCUAUGAGGCAAAAGCCAGCUUCUUCCCUCCUCUGCCAAGCCAGUUGAAUUUCAGCGCGAAGUGGUUGGUGAGGAUGUGGCGAAGGAUUCUUCGAACCGCGUCCCCAGGAUUGCAGCCCCCAAGCGCACUAAGGUGUGCUGCCUGCAGAAGAUCCUCCACCCUUUGAAGGUCUUCCUCGCAGUUCAUUGGGAACUUAAAUUCCUCAGAUAGAGUGUCUGCUGCUGCUGCUGCUGUAGUUUUUUGCCUAGUAAGGGCCUGGAGGAGGAGGUUGUUCUGCCUCACCAAGGCCUUCAACUCCUCCACAGCACGCAGGAGUGCAUGAUCCCGUUCUACAGGACAGAAAAACAUCAUGACUGUCAUGUCAAGAGUAAGACCCUUUGCUAAAAUUAACAGACUUAAGUUUAAACAGAUUUUCAGUAUUGCUGUGUAAGGCCAGAUGUUUGUGUACCGAAUUGACUUUGAAUGUUGCCAGAGAUCUGGGCAGAGGCCUGUUCAAGAGCAGCUGAUGUGUGGGCAGCAACUGUAGGCAAGAAGAUGUAUAUUUAUAAUCAGAGUAGUCAGUGUAUUGAAGUUCAUUACAUUCAAAUUUCCCAGAUUCAAGACAUUCAAAAAAGAUGGUGAGUAGAAUAGCAGAAUUCAGAUUUGGAAUGAUGUGUUAUACCUUUAUGUAUGUCCUGCUGUGAUGCUCUAAAAGCAGGUGGGGAAAGCAGGGGCUUGUGGAGGACUCCUUUUUUUUCUUUUUUCUUAGCCCUAUACAUUGGAACAGUACAAGAGUAUGAACAACAACAGUUUUGUAAGACUGCAAACUUGCCAAUCACAAAAUGUCUUCAUGUGAGUGAUAAUGCAUGGCCAUCUGUAAUCAGACCUUGUAUGCUUCUCCCCCUCAUCUGCAGGCACAAUUUCUUUCAGCUUUGAGGAAGGGCUGCAUUAGAAAAGAAAUCACUCAAUAAGCAUGCAUUGUUUUGUGUAGCUGAUGGUUUUCAUAGUAUAGAUUACUGCACAGUGCUUACAUUCUCCUUCUUUUACCCCCUUCAUCAUCUGAUGUCAGGGUGCUCCUGGUUUGGGCUUUUUUCAGGUUCAUACGCGCUGCAUCAUAAUUGGCUGUUGAAGACAACAAUGAAGUGAGUAAAGCUUUUAAAGCCUAAGGGGAGAAAAGUGGUACAUCCUACUUUUGUCUGUCUCACCAAAGGUUUUCACCACCUCCACAAAAAACUCUCCCCAGGUCUCAUCUGGCAUAGCGCUUUGGAUGACUGCAACUUUCGUCCGCUUGGUGUCUUUAUACGGUGGCCAAAAAGACACCUUGCCGUCCAAACUUAGCCACAAGCAAGGCACAACCUCCACCUCGUUUGACUCGGUUCCCAACCACAGCUGUCCCCAGUGCAGUUGAAUCAACAGGGUGGUUGAAGAAUGGACGUUGGUCUAAAUAUUGCCUCGCCACAAAAGACGUACCACCAAGUGUCCUGCUAAUUGCCUCUAUUUUAAAAGUGGCACUGUCACGUUAAAAUUGUACCGGGGGCGAAAAUUGUACCGGCCUACGUCAUCGUUUGUUUACAUCCUGACAACCUGACAACCUGCCCUGCAACAGACGACGCGAUGCAGAAAACAUGUUUCCAAACGACGAAAUAACAUAAUACAGAUAGCGGAUCGCUAUCUGAAUUAUGAUAGAUAGCGAUAACACUUGUUUUUACUUUAUAUUUGUAUUGUAUUUAAUUGUUUAAUCGAAACAAUAAAGAAAAUUGCCCGCGAAACGGGCGAUCGCGUCAAAUGACGCGUCAAAUCACGUAGGAAGGUUCUUGAACAUUCUAGACUAUGAAACCUGCUUAAAACACUCAGUUUACUAUCUAAAUUCGAUUAAACAAUUCAAUACAAUACAAAUAUAAAGUAAAAACAAGUGUUUUCUAGCGAUCCGUUAUCUGUAUUGUGUUUCAAGAACCCUCCUACGUCAUUUGACGCGAUCGCCCGUUUCGCGGGCAAAACAUUUGUCAUUUGACGCGAUCGCCCGUUUCGCGGGCAAUUUUUUUUAUUGUUUCGAUUAAACAAUUAAAUACAAUACAAAUAUAAAGUAAAAACAAGUGUUAUCACUAUCUAUCAUAAUACAGAUAGCGAUCCGCUAUCUGUAUUAUGUUAUUUCGUCGUUUGGAAACAUGUUUUCUGCAUCGCGUCGUCUGUUGCCGGGCAGGUUGUCAGGAUGUAAACAAACGAUGACGUAGGCCGGUACAAUUUUCGCCCCCGGUACAAUUUUAACGUGACAGCACCACCACACGAAACUGUGUUGUUCCCAUCCUUUGUGGACAGGGUAAAUCUAUCAGUGGCGUACUGUGUUGUUGAGGGUGAACUUUGGUUAUGGGAAGAUGGACAGACUGGGUUGAUGCUUGAUUUUUCCGUUAAUCGUUUAACAAUUUGUUGUAAUGUCUGGUUUGGCUUUCUAAUUAGUUUCUUUAAUUUAUACAAGAAAUUUUCGAAGGGAAAGGCUGAAAUUUGGGGUAGUGGGCCAUAUUUUCUAACAUCACUUGCCAGGUGGAUCAAGCUGUGGACGUUAUACACCAGAAAGUCCCCAUAGAUGGCGUGAAAAUUCUGAACGAACACUACCAGGAGAUUUUCCGCAUAGUCACAAUAACGGUGGUGGAGACGGGGGGAACAUAAAAUUGUUAUUGCUACGUGGAGUAAAAGAAAAUGUUGAUACAUGUGUUUUGGUAGGUUUUUUUUUAAUGCAAUGGGGCCAGUGUAAAGUAAAAAAGUCCUAAAUUCAGUGGCCUUCCACCGAUCAACCUCACGGAGGGACCUUCCCUUGCGUCCAAACUCCUUUGGCAGCCUCUUGCCCAAUUUGAUUAAGUUCUCCGAAAUAAUGCAGAUGGAUUGACUCCCAAUGCGGGUUGGAAGGGGCCCUCUCUGCCACAGCCAGAUCAACUUUCUCAUCACUCCUAGGCACACCAGGUGCAUAAAGUCCAGCACAAAUUGGGUCACCAAGCCUACAUCUAGGUGUUGUAAUGGACUGUCGCCCUCUUUGUGAUGUUCCUGGUUGACUUUUGUAGCAAAACUGUCAUCGGUUCUGAGAACCGCAUCUGUUUCGGAGUAAUUUAGGCGUCGGUUUGCCCAUGAGCCCUCUUGCAUGCACCUUUCGCAGCCGUAAUAGGAAUUGUGUGCUUUUAUGUUUUUUAGAAAUGCCCUUGCCGGUGCAUCACAGACAAAACAGGAAAUUUCAAUUUAAAUUUUUUUUGACUGAUACUCCAAGCCAUCAGAUGCAAGCUUCCCCAUCUCUGCCACAAAGUCAGAGAGGUACUCGCUUGCAUCGGUUGGCUUGGAGUAUCCACAAUAUAAACCAAUUAGAAAUGGGGAUCUAAUGGGGUCCUCUUCAAUUAGUGCAAGAAUUGGCCAAAAUUGCUGGCUGCUGCUUUUAAAAAGGGGCAGGCCAUCCACAUUUAUUUGUAGUUUUAGUGUUUGGUUUUUAGCUAAGUCCUGUUCUUGCAUUCGGCCCAGGAUCCCUUUUGCCACACCAAAAUAGUGCAUGUUCCCCCCAGCUUUUGGUACUAUCUCCGCAUAAGUAGGGGUUGACAGGAGAGUGCGGCCGUCUUUUGGCAGUUUGGAAUCUGGGAAGUGCUUGCGAAGCACGGAGAGCAGGCUGGAAAUGUGGGAAAUUGGUGUAUUUGUUGUGAUUGCCCAUUCCUUGAGCUCAUGUCUUAAGUCCCCUUGAAAACUGCCCCCCUCCUCUGAAUCUGAGCCACUGCUAGAGCUCGACAAAUCAUUGAACUCCCAGUCAUCCUCGCCAGAGGAGGCGCUCUCCUCUGAUGCCAUUACCCAAUCCCCAUCUCCGCUUUCGUCGUCGUUUUCUAUUUCGGUGUAAGCUGGGACACUUGGUGGUGUGUCUAAUGUGUCUGCGCCAGCGGCCAGGUUAAAGUAAGUGGGCCCGCUAGCAUGAAGCGCUGCCAACGCAGCAUCCGCUCCUCUUUUAACAUGCCUUCGCAGCGACCUCUUUGAUAAAAUUAUUUUACUCUCUGCCAUUUUUUGUAAUUUUGCUGUCGUAAGAGGUAGGCUAUAAUUGAAUUAUUUUGUAGCGGCUAGACUGUAACCCGGCUGGCGGCUAGCUAGCUGGCUAGCUACAGUUGGCGAAUUUGUUGACAACAUUACGACUAGCGCUAGCAAUUUAGCCGGUACUUUGUCAAACGGGUGGGGUUUGCCUUACCUUGGCUAAGUGAACCGGUUUACUUGUUUGUUUGUUUUGGUAUUGUUUGACGUGUUUUCUGGACGAUGUGAAGUUGUCGGCAUCAAAUGUGGUUGUUGGCAGGCAGCUGACGGUUAUUUCUUGUUGUUAUAUGGUCGCGAGCUUUGUUGACGGUUAUUUUUUGAUGUUAUAUGGUCGCGAGCUUAUUGCUGUUAUUGUUGAAUAUCAUAUCAGUUUGGACCAGUUUCUCUAAAAAGAAAACAUGCUACAUCAGGGGUCCUGUACUGAUGAAGCAAUAUUGUAAGCAAAGCAAUAAAGUAGUGUUAUCAGGGUAGCACCAGUGCUAUCUAGCACCAGUACUCAUUUCCCUAAUAUGUGGUUUAUCCCCCCCCCCCGGUUUAUCUGUCCCUACUCCCCCAAUCCCUUAA